ACGAUAGAAAAAUCACAGCGCUGUCCCACGGAAGGAUUGAAAUAAAUUGGUUUUUUAGUUGUUCGAUGAGGAUAAACAAUACCUUGGCAAUGUUGAAAACGAACCGACACAAUAUGACCUCACUACGCGACGCUCAACUCGCGACUGAAGCUCCAGCUUCAGGGUCGCGGAAGAAGGAUGGCAGUAAAAUUCCCGUCAUCCUUUGCGCGUUAAUUCCUGGCCAAUCAGAGCGAGUCUCGAACCCGGGUGGAAAAAGUAAGAUUCUUCAACAAGAUUUGAAUGCGCGCGUGUCAUCAGCGUCAAUUAAAUAAUUAACGGCGUAGCCGCAAAUUAGUUUAAUGUAGUAUUAUACCUUAACAAACGCUGCUGAACAGUCUCGCCAGCCGUAUCUAAUUGGCAUUUAUACCGGCUAGCCUCAGAGCGAAUAAUCAUGGUCUGUAAAUUUUCAGGUCAGUUAUCAAACCCCUAACCAGCAAGAACGUUGAAUCCUUCACUGUUUGAUAGGAUAGGUGUAUAAU
rnacentral:misc_RNA from 1 species